rnacentral:lncRNA from 1 species
AGGACCAGCAUUCCACGAAGGCAGCCCUUUUCUAGAUGGAGAAAAGAGAACCUGAAGGCACCCGUUUCCCUAAACUGCUCUUGCUCAUGUGCUUCCGAGGCGAUUGAUCGGGCAGUGUCAGUCUUCAGCUGCUAUACCAAGAAGAUCUGGGAAGGAGUCAGUCAGAGAGCCUUGGGCCAGAAUUCCAGGGGCUCUGGGAGUGGCUGUCAG